CGAACGCUGGCGGCGUGCUUAACACAUGCAAGUCGAACGGUGAAGCGCCUUCCUUUUUGGUGGGUGUGGAUGAGUGGCGAACGGGUGAGUAACACGUGAGUAACCUGCCCCCUUCUUCUGGAUAACCGCAUGAAAGUGUGGCUAAUACGGGAUAUUCUGGGUCUGUCGCAUGAUGGGUCUGGGAAAGAUAUUGUUUCGGUGGGGGAUGGGCUCGCGGCCUAUCAGCUUGUUGGUGGGGUGAUGGCCUACCAAGGCGGUGACGGGUAGCCGGCCUGAGAGGGUGGACGGUCACACUGGGACUAAGACACGGCCCAGACUCCUACGGGAGGCAGCAGUGGGGAAUAUUGCACAAUGGGCGCAAGCCUGAUGCAGCGACGCCGCGUGAGGGAUGGAGGCCUUCGGGUUGUGAACCUCUUUCGCCAGUGAAGCAGGCCUGCCUCGUUUGUGGGUGGGUUGACGGUAGCUGGAUAAGAAGCGCCGGCUAACUACGUG
rnacentral:rRNA from 1 species